CUUUCUGCUGCCCUCUCUCUGCAGGAUCAGUAGGUACUGAGGGCAAAACAUCUGGAGGAGGAGAAACGCCCGGUUAUACAGGGGUCCAGAUAUGCAGCGCUUUCUCUUUCUAGGAUGAGGAUGGAGGAAGUAGGAAUCACAAGUGAAAGCCCAGCUGCCACCAUCAGAGCCUCCUCUCCUACGUGGACUCAUUUGCUCCAGCACCAGAUUUCAUUAACCGAAGGGCUACACUGCAAGGCAGAGCAUGCUCCUGCCAGCCCUGCCUUGGUGAUCACCACCACGGCAAUGAAUAAAAGGUCGCUGAAUCAAGGGCCGCUCUUGCUGAAGAAAGUUGCCAGUCAUUUCCUUGUUGACCAAUCGGCAGGAACUUGCCCAUCCUUGUCUGCUUGACUUCUUGGCAGACGGAUCAUCUUCCCUAGGACUACUCGAGACUCUAGAAAAUUCAGUAGUCCAGGGACCAAGAUGGAGCAGAGUUAGAGGAGACAGAGGAGAGAGGGAAGACCCAGUCUUCCCAUUAUUCUCAGGAAACCUGAGAAGCUGUCGGUAUUCACUGAUGGAACAGGAUGCAGAAACAGUCCACAGAGGUUCAGCCACUUGCUCCAGGUCCCACAGGAAGUAAUGAGCAGACUGGAGAUUCACACUGAAGCUGGUGUUCUUCCCACAGCUGCAGAUGUGCAACUGACUCAGCUUGGACUCUUUCCCCUGCUCAGAUUCUGAGAUGAAAUCUGCCUUCUGACAAACAGACCCAGCUAGGGACCCUAAGGGUCCAGGAAGACUUCGCCUCUUCUUCAUCUUCAUGGUUUUGGCUGAUAGACAGUCAACCACAGGCAUGAGUGAAGCUGUUACAGAUCCACCAUGCCCCAGCCGACCCACCAGCUGACCACAGACACAACAGCGAGACCAGCUGAGACUAGCCAAAUGCGGUUCACAGACUUGUGAGAGAAAAUCCGUGUUUACAGUCUGGGGACUGUUUUUUAUGCUGCAUUAUUGUGGCAGUGGAUAACUGAUACAGGUCUGGACUUAUUGGUGGCUGUAUCCAGCCUGGGUCCCUGUUGCAGACAGAAGUCAAUCUGCCCCAUGUCAUUAAUAGCCUCUUGCCCCCUGCUACCCACCUAGAUCUGAAUCUAUAAGCCUUCCCCACAUCUCUCCUGGGUCCUGCCCCUAAAACCAAAGUGAUUUUCUGCUCCCCACAAUUCUUUCCCAGCCACCUCCUGGAUGAGACCAUGGGGACCAGACUUGGUCUGGAGGAACACAGCCCUGGCCCUGAGGCUUUCUCUCUGCUGUUCUUGAUUUCAAAGGACAUUUGAUUCUGGCACCGCCGCACACAGUUCCGGGCUUAAUGACACCUCGAUGCUCCCCCUGGAGAAGCUCUGGUUUUUCCAAGGGUAUAUAACUUAGCUAU